UCCAAAGAUUUUUACGCGGAAGGAAUAUGGAAGCUUGUGCACAGUGCUGGGAGACAAUGUUGCGGCAAUGUUCCUGCCGUACUCCAGAUCAGCGGUCUCCAACCUUUUUUGAGACACAGACCGGUUUCACUUAGAUAUAUUUAGACAUCUUUCGAUAUAUAGACAAUGAAAUCAAAAGUGUUGUGAGUGACUGGCUGAGAUAUCAGUCCAAAGAUUUUUACGCGGAGGGAAUAUGGAAGCUUUUGCACAGUGCUGGGAGACAAUAAUGUUGAAUAUUAUUCUAAAAAAGUAAGCUUCUAUCUGUAUUAGAAGUGCUGAUAUUGAAAAAUUCACCUUAUUUUUUGAUGACCCUCAUAUAUUUAGUAAUUUGAUCCUAUGCAAGUUGAUCAACUCAAAAUAUUUCUAUGGUCUGUCUGAGCAGCAACACCCAGUGGCUGAGGAUCCCUGCUCAACAUGAUUUCAGUCAUGAGCACUGGUUGGGGGUGGAGGGUGGGGUGGUCUGUUUGGAGAGCUGAGCCUUCACAU